rnacentral:rRNA from 1 species
CUGCGAUAAGGUUCGGGGAGUCGGCAAACAGACUUUGAUCCGAACAUUUCUGAAUGGGGAAACCCACUUGUCAUAAGACAGGUAUCCAGUACUGAAUACAUAGGUACUGGAGGCGAACCGGGAGAACUGAAACAUCUAAGUACCCCGAGGAAAAGAAAUCAACCGAGAUUCCCUGAGUAGCGGCGAGCGAAAGGGGAGCAGCCCUUAAGUCUGUAUUGUGUUAGUGGAAGGCUCUGGAAAGUGCCGCCAUAGUGGGUGAUAGCCCCGUACACGAAAACUAACCGCAGUGAAAUCGAGUAGGUCGGGACACGAGAAAUCUUGACUGAAUAUGGGGGGACCAUCCUCCAAGGCUAAAUACUCCUGACUGACCGAUAGUGAACCAGUACCGUGAGGGAAAGGCGAAAAGAACCCCUGUGAGGGGAGUGAAAUAGAUCCUGAAACCGCAUGCAUACAAGCAGUGGGAGCCGACUUGUUCGGUGACUGCGUACCUUUUGUAUAAUGGGUCAGCGACUUACAUUUUGUGGCGAGGUUAACCGAAUAGGGGAGCCGUAGGGAAACCGAGUCUUAACUGGGCGUCCAGUCGCAAGGUGUAGACCCGAAACCGAGUGAUCUAGCCAUGGGCAGGUUGAAGGUUGAGUAACAUCAACUGGAGGACCGAACCGACUAACGUUGAAAAGUUAGCGGAUGACCUGUGGCUGGGGGUGAAAGGCCAAUCAAACUCGGAGAUAGCUGGUUCUCCUCGAAAUCUAUUUAGGUAGAGCCUCGGAUGAAUACCACUGGGGGUAGAGCACUGUUAAGGCUAGGGGGUCAUCCCGACUUACCAACCCUUUGCAAACUCCGAAUACCAGUGAGUACUAUCCGGGAGACACACGGCGGGUGCUAACGUCCGUCGUGGAAAGGGAAACAACCCAGACCGUCAGCUAAGGUCCCAAAGUUUUGGUUAAGUGGGAAACGAUGUGGGAAGGCUCAGACAGCUAGGAGGUUGGCUUAGAAGCAGCCACCCUUUAAAGAAAGCGUAAUAGCUCACUAGUCGAGUCGGCCUGCGCGGAAGAUGUAACGGGGCUAAAACUAUGUGCCGAAGCUGCGGAUUUGAC